GGUCCCGCCUGCCCUGUGACCAUGUGUUUAACGGCCGCGGUAUUUUGACCGUGCGAAGGUAGCGCAAUCACUUGUCUUUUAAAUGAAGACCUGUAUGAAUGGCAUAACGAGGGCUUAGCUGUCUCCUCUUUCAAGUCAAUGAAAUUGAUCUCCCCGUGCAGAAGCGGGAAUACAACCAUAAGACGAGAAGACCCUAUGGAGCUUUAGACACAAAGCAGAUCACGUCAAAAACCCUCUAAACAAGAGCCAAAACAAAAUGAAACCUACUAGAAUGUCUUUGGUUGGGGCGACCGCGGAGAAAAACUAAUCCUCCAUGUGGACUGGGGUACAAUAAGCCCCAUAACCAAGAGCUCCCGCUCUAAGUAUUAAAACCUUUAACCUACAGAUCCGGCCAUGCCGAUCAACGAACCGAGUUACCCUAGGGAUAACAGCGCAAUCCCCUUCCAGAGCCCAUAUCGCCAAGGGGGUUUACGACCUCGAUGUUGGAUCAGGACAUCCUAAUGGUGCAGCCGCUAUUAAGGGUUCGUUUGUUCAACGAUUAAAGUCCUACGUGAUC
rnacentral:rRNA from 1 species